rnacentral:rRNA from 1 species
GACAGAGGGUGCAAACGUUGUUCGGAAUUACUGGGCGUAAAGCGCGUGUAGGCGGCUAAGUAAGUCGGGCGUGAAAUCCCACGGCUCAACCGUGGAAGUGCACUCGAAACUGGCGGAGCUUGAGUACGAAAGAGGAUCGCGGAAUUCCCGGUGUAGAGGUGAAAUUCGUAGAUAUCGGGAGGAACACCGGUGGCGAAGGCGGCGAUCUGGGUCGAUACGUGACGCUGAGGUGGCGAAAGCGUGGGGAGCAACAGGAUAGAA